ensembl:lncRNA
CUUAUUCACUUACCGAAGAGCUGUCUUUAUUCGUAUUCAUUUUACAACAGAAAAAUUGAGUUCCCACAGGGAAGUUGUGGGACAAUGUCAGCAUUUCUGUCCAACCAAGUCCCCACACCUUGGUCUCUCCCAUGAUGCUCCCCAAUCUCACUGCUCCCCUGAGGCCUGAGAGGGUGAGCACCUUCCCCUUCAUAGAUCCCCCACAACACACACACACACACACACACACACACACACACACACACACACAGGCACGACUGCAUCCUGUCUGCAAAAGGCCCCUUGGCUUUUCUCUGCCACAACCGCCUCCCCAUUUACCCCUCGUGGCGCUGGUACUGAAAGUUUCUGGACACACUCCCUGCACUCAGUUGUUCAGGGGGCACUUAUUGACAGCUGGCUGCACACAUCUGGGGAAGACCAACAAAAUCUCUUGGGUGGGGGAGGGUGAAAUGGGUGGAGGGAAUCAAAAGGUACAAACCAGCAGUUAUAAAAUAAAUAAGUGAGGGGAUGUAACAUUCAGCAUGGUGACUAUAGCUAAUAAUACUGUAUUGCAUACUUGAAAGUUGCUAGAGAGUAGAUCUUAAAAGUUCUAAUCACAAGAAAAACAAUUGUGUAACUAUGUAUGGCAAUGGAUGUUAACUAGACUUAUUAUGUUGUACACCUACAACUAAUAUAAUGUUAUAUGUCAAUUAUGCCUCAAUUUAAAAAUUAAUUUUUUUAAAAAAAAGAAAGUCUCUUGCCCUGAGUAGCCUCACAGUCUGGCUGCCUGACAGGGCACAUGGUAAGGUGGAGAAAAUCAUAAAGCAACAUGGACAAGAAGAGCAGAACCCUCAGAUACACCAGACAUAAGAUCCGGAGGAGACGGGGGAGAGGGGCUGCUCCUGGACAGAGCAGAUGGAGAAGUCCCCUCGGUUUCCAGCUUUGACUCUCCUGGGGAAACUGCAAAUUCCCUGGAACAAAGCUGAAAAUGGCUGGUGGGCACCUGACCUCUCUGAGGAGCCAUCUUCCUUGCCAAGAAGACACUGGCUCAGACAGCUGGAAGCAGAGCUUCAAAGGAACAACAAGUCUUCCACUUCGAUUCCAUCUCUCAGUUUCCAUUUGGAGAAGAGACUCAGAGGAGGGAAACAGGAGACCAGUAGGCAGGCUGCAACCUCCCAGAGACCCAGACAUCCUGGUGGGGAGUGGGGGAGGCAGUUGACCAUUUGACAGUGGUCCCAGCUUCAAGGAUGGAGAACAGCUGCGCCUCCUCCCAGAUCUUCCAUGGGGAAUGUUCACACCACCUGCCAUCACAUUCAUAGUUCUACUUGUUAUAACUGUCUGGAUCUCCCACCCAGAAUGGGACCCUCUGGAGGGCAGAGCAUGGGAGGCCAGAGAUGCUUCAGGGCAAACUGACUUCCUAACACCCAAAGCUGGGUCAGGCUCAGAGACCCCAUGAGGAAGGCAGGCCAGGCAAGGGCAACCUUUGACCCAUGACUGUGCCAGGGAUGCAGCCCCAGGACCUAGGGGAGUCACUCUCAGCCUCGCCUGCCAUCAGCACAGCCCGAGGACUGGAGAAUUUACCUCCUGUCCCAAACACCCAGGGAGGGGUGGAUGGUGAGUAGACCAGGGCAGCCCAGGCGGGCAGCCCACUGCUGGUCUCACCACCUCCAGCUGCCUUCAUCACACACUGCAGCCUGACCUCCCCCUGCCCACACCGUGGACCUCAGGUCCCUCUGACCCCUCACUGAGUCUGCCCUUCAUCCACUUCUGGACAGCCCCCUAGACAAGUCCAGAAGCCCCAGCCAAACACCUGCUUACUUUACCCCAGUGUCACCCUCCAUCCCAUUACCUGCCCCCCACCUCUGCCCCUCCACAUCCUAACCCUCAGCCCACCCACCCACUUGCCUCCCCUGGCCCUUUGGGCCCCAGCUUAUGCCUCCAGCAACCACUUCUCCUUUCCAUUCCAACCCCCCUGUGCUGCCUAAGGGCUUCCUCUUAUUACUGAGAAAACACUGAAGACACAGCCAACAGACCUCUCUCCUCAGCAAGUGGUUGGUAAAGUUUGGCAAAAGAAGCAGGAAAAAAGAGAAAAUAUACAGAUUCACAAACCCUUAGGAUUCCUUGGCUUGGGGACAUUUACUGUCUUAUUGUUUUCUUAUUUUACUUAUCCUGUCAUUCUUGUACUUAGAAAUUUUUGGACUUAAAUUUUUCUUCUUUUUUUUUUUUUAAGGAAGAUUAGCCCUGAGCUAACGUCUGCCUCCAAUCCUCCUCUUUUUGCUGAGGAAGACUGGCCCUGAGCUAACAUCUGUGCUCAUCUUCCUCUACUUUAUAUGCGGGACGCCUGCCACAGCAUGGCUUGACAAGCGGUGCCAUGUCCGCACCUGGCAUCUGAACCAGUGAACCCCAGGCCGCCAAAGCGGAACAUGCAAACUUAACCAGUGCGCCACCAGGCCAGCCCCUUAAAUUUCUUUAAUAUUUUAAUAGAUUCCUUCCUUGUACUAGACUCCAGCACAUGAUUACUCUUCUCUUCCAAAAAAAAUUGAAUAAAUAAUUCCUUGUGCUAUCUCUAA